GAGCAAACACGGCACUUCAUUCCCGAUUUUUUAACAGUAACAAAAUUUUAAUUAGAUUUUUUAAAAUCCAAUAAUUUUUGGCUGUUAAGAUGUUGGAAAAAAUGAUGUAUUCAAGAUUAAAUCAAAAGCUUACCACUGAAACUAUGGUGGCUGCUUCGGAAUGUUGAGUCUUUUCGGGGGCGGGUGCAUCCUCAGCAGUUGAAAUGGAAAUUAGAUUCGAAUUUUUACCAAGUUCUAGGGAUUUUGCCUUAAGUAUAUUGCACUUGAGCGACUCUGGAGGGAUCGGCGUGCGGGGCGGCAGCACGGAAGCACCACUCACUUGGUUAUUAGGUUCCAAAGGCUGCUGAUCUUUUGCAAGCGACUUCAUAAGUGAAUCUACUAGUGGAGAGGAAGUUCCCUGAAUACUCGAGUCAGAGGAUUUCGUACUGCAUCUACUCGACUGCCGUUGGAUGGAUUCUUCUUCUGAAACAGCUGAAACAGUACAUCAAUACACAUCAUUUAUUUCAAGCAACGAUUUACUGUGAAACUAAAAGAAAAAUCUAGACUAGCAAUUGCAAAUAAUGCUACGUCUACACACUGUCUUAAAAUUGAAGACAUUUAAAUUAAUUUAAAAUCCUCUUUAACUUUCAAUAAUCAACUUUGUGUACAGAAUUCCUGAAAAUAAAACCGAGAAUCCAACGACCAAAUUUUGACAAGCACCAUAAACUGCUCCUAUUGUAAUUGGAAAAAAGAUUUUUUUUCCUUAAAAAAGAAAAA